AGCAGCCGCGGUAAUUCCAGCUCCAAUAGCGUAUAUUAAUGUUGCUGCAGUUAAAAAGCUCGUAGUUGGAUUUCUGGUUUGGCGCGCCUGGCCCGCCACGGUCACGUGAGUGAGUGCUGGGUCGCGCCUGCCAUCUUUCUGGUCAACUAUUCUUCCUUAACGGGUUGGAUAGGUAGCCAGAUCUUUUACUUUGAAAAAAU
rnacentral:rRNA from 1 species